UAUAGACUGAUCAUUUCUUUGUAAGUGGGCAAACGUACAAAUUCAGCAGGGGAUCAAAUACUUUUCCCCCCCACUAAGCCUGAAGGAUAGCAGCUUUAAUAGCGUCAUAAUCUGAACUCUGGUCAAAACAUAAAGCGGUGUACACUUUCUGAGCUUUUCCCACAGGAACACUUGAGGAUCAGUGACCAAAUAUCUCACGGCCAUUUUAUGGAUGUGGCAAUCUGCUCAAACAAAGAAAAAUAUACAUCCACCUUUUCGCUGAAAGGCGGUACAAGCCGGCUGUUCCGACCAAGAUCAAACUCUGUUGAGGGUGCAGGAUGGCCUGACUGGAUUCGGAGCUCUUCCAAAUCUAUCUUUCUUAAUUGAAUGGCAUGCACAUGUUCUUCUUGUUCUAGUCUUUCCCUGUGCUCAAGCUCUAAUUUCUGUUACUCCAACUAUGUCUUUAGUUCUAAUUCUCGCAGUUGCACAUCUACGGGACUCACCCUACUACCCGUAGGACACUUUUCAUCAACCUCCCUCUGGAAGGAUUUCCUGCUCCACCAAAGCAGUACCGAUAAACUCUGACUACUGCUUUUGGAUUGCCGGAUGCCACCUUGCUGUCAUAAUGCUUUGUAAUGACGAGCAGAUUUGCCUUUGUACAUUUAUCUCGCAUCUCCCAUGUAGGGUUUUCCAAAAAUGCUUCCAACUUAAAUUCCAUGGCUUUAAUUUUAUAAGCCUGUGUGUUCAUGCAACUUUAUUGUCAGGUGGAUGUCAUUGACAAAACUCUACCACAAAAGUGUAUUUUGAACACUCAAAUAUCUGGGCACAGCAGAGCUUCAGAGUAGGUGACUAAAGCGACUACCAUACUCAUAGGAAACAAGAUCCCGGAUGAGCCCCCUUUGUGUUACUUUCCCCAGCAAGAAAAACAACAAACUUAAAGAGGACACAAACCAAAAAAGUAGAGCAAAACAAAAAAACAGGUAAGAUCAGAUACAGUAUUGUUUGUCGAGAACUCAACUAAGGAGCCCAAAUUAGAGGUGUUAAACCUUCACGUCUUUCAAGACCACUGGAGCACUGGGUCAGCCACUCUUAUAUAGCACCUGGACCAGCACAGGUGAAACACCUUCCCACUAACAAGAUGGCAACCAGCACAGGUGCAACACAUACUGACUAAUGAGGUGACACCAAUCAGCGCGCCCUACGUGCUUAAGUCCAACCUCAAAACAUACAUGGAAAAAACAAAGCCUGUAACAAUACCAGACGACUACGAGUACUGUUCACCACUGUUGUGUAAAAUUCUAGAGGCUACAAUCAUUCGCAUUGAGUGUUAACAUGUUACAUGAGAGCCAUCCUCCCAUUGCUAGGGCAACAGAGAAGCAAUGUGACAUGUUCAUAUUUUUUACAACACAUUCAAAAUUAUAAAACAAACCAUACAACUGUAUAGCAUAACAAAAUUGUAUAAGGCAUGAUCAGAGCCAUGAUUAUCUUUUUAAUCUGCUAUUGUGGUUUGUGUAAUUGUAGAAAAAUAUAUGCUUGUCAUCUUAAACAAUUUACUCAUUGUAAUUUGCGAAAACAAAAUGCAGUUUGUCAAACAAACAGGCACAAAAUACACUCUUAACAGCUCAGUAAACAUGAAUAGGAUCUUGUUUAAUAUCAAAAUAGAGUAAACACACCUCAAAAAUAUAUAUUUUGUGCGUUUUUAAAUUAUACUCAACCCGGGUUGGUGAUAUUCUCUAUGAUAUUUUUUGGGGGUAUCUUCAUCAAAUAUUGAUCAUGCAACAACAACAAAAAUGUUGAUACAGGGCACAAGGCCAGUGGUAAAGUUAUCUACACUUAGUCACUAUACCAAAUUGAUCUUAUUAGCUGGUUAGCUGACAACGUCACAAAUUACGCACGCGUGUCGAUGGGGCAGAAGUCUGUGUUGUUAUGAUUUUGGAUGGUCAGAUAGCUAGCAACAAUGACAAGAAGCUCGUUUUAGAUCAUUGUGUAUUGAUACCAUGUCUUGUUUUGAGGUGUUUUACUCUUGUCACUUCUAUGCUAAUAUGGCUAAAAUUACAAACGUAACAAUGUAUUUGAGAGACAACAAGUGCUCAUUGUGCAAAUGUAUUUAUGUUUUCAAUAAAGAUUUGGAGAGGACAUAUAGUUUACAUGUUGUCAACAAUCCUUUGAUUCUAAGUAAACCUGAAUGUUUUGCUCCACAGUUGCGCAUGCAUUGGUUUUGUUGCUAAACAACCCACCCGUCUAUAUAUUUUUGUGACCCCUCAAAAGACACCCCAUUGUAAAUUCAGUCGUAGAGUCCAAUGCCACUUCCAAUGUCAUUGGAUCUUUUAAUGACAAAAGGCACUCCAAAAGGCACUCCAAUUGUCAUUGUUGCAAACAAACAUGACAUUUGACAAAAGCCCAGACUGUGGCAGAGCAAUUCAAAUAGAAAACUCCUACCAGAACCCUUAAAACUUCAAUGAUACCAUGUCCAUUCAAGUGUAAUAAAGCAGAUGAAUAAUGACAGAACCCUGGACUUUCCUUACUAACAGAUGUCAUGGCCACUGGUGGAAAAAGUACACAAUUGCCAUACUUGAGUAAAAGUACAGAUACCCUAAUAGAAAAUGACUCAAGUAAAAGUGAAAGUCACCCAGUAAAAUCCUACUUGAGUAAACAUCUAAAAGUAUUUGGGUUUAAAUAUACUUAAGUAUCAAAAGUAAGUGUAACUGUUAAAAUAUACUUAAGUAUCAAAGUUUAAAGUAAAAGUAUAAAAAAUUUAAAAUUCCUUAUAUUAAGCAAACCAGAUGGCACCAAUUUCUUUUUUUUUUUAUUUAAGGAUAUCCAGGGGCACGCAUCAACACAUAAUUUGCAAAUGAAGCAUGUGUUUAGUGAGUCUGCCAGAUCAGAGGCAGUAAGGAUGACCAGGGAUGUUCUCUUGAUAAGUGUGUGAACUAGACCAUUUUCCUGUCCUGCUAUGUACUUUAUUCAAAAUGUAACGAGAACUUGUGGGUGUCAGGGAAAAUGUAUGGAGUUAAAAGUACAUAAUUUUCUUUAGGAAUGUAGUGAAGUAAAAGUAAAAGUUGUCAAAGUAAAGCAAAGCACAGAUACCCCAAAAAACAACAUAAUUAUUUUUACUUAAAACCUGUUGGGGAUAGGGGGCAGUAUUUGCACGGCCGGAUAAAAAAC
rnacentral:lncRNA from 1 species